UACGUAGGGUGCAAGCGUUGUCCGGAAUUAUUGGGCAUAAAGCGCGUGUAGGCGGUCCGGUAAGUCCGCUGUGAAAGUCGAGGGCUCAACCCUCGAAUGCCGGUGGAUACUGUCGGGCUUGAGUACGGGAGAGGCGAGUGGAAUUCCUGGUGUAGCGGUGAAAUGCGCAGAUAUCAGGAGGAACACCGAUUGCGAAGGCAGCUCGCUGGAACGUUACUGACGCUGAGACGCGAAAGCGUGGGGAGCAAACAGG
rnacentral:rRNA from 1 species